CCAAGUUAGGUUUCACUAUUAAAAGUAAAUUCCAUGAAGGUAACUAGAAUGCUAAUUGAAACUCACAAAAAUAGAAUAAUUUAAAGUCACUUGAUUUAAAUUACUGUAAAGGUAGGCAUGUAGAGAAAGAUAUACAAUUACAAACAAAAAAUGAUCUCUCAUGAGUCCAAGUUGCAGUCCCUUCCCUAAAAAAUGAUACAUGCAUCAGUUUCUUUCGUGAUUGGACUCAUAAGGACAAAGGAGCUAAACUAGUCAAGUUUGAGAGACUAAACGCCAAUUGCCAUUCAUUGUCAUAAUCAGUAUCCAAAAAACAUGAUAAGAUUCAUAACACAAUGACUAAGAUAUUCCAUGGAGAUGACAACAUGUUGCUAAAAGAAUUGAUUGGUACCUAAUAUUCCAUAGAAAAAGUUGUAUAGAUAAGAUAGAACCCGUUAAACUAGCUUGGAGGUUUGGAAAUUCAUCAAAAUUAAUUAUAUUAUGAACUAGCUUGGUGGCUUUAAUGUCAAUCAAGCAAGACAAAACCAAAAAAUCAAUUAAUUUAUCCUCUUCCUGAAAUUCAUUUCCUAUGUUUUCAUACGAAUUCAUAAUUGAGAGUUUCAUGGGUUCUUCCCUUUAUCUCAUCCAACUCAUUGGAUAUUUCAAAAGGCAAAGGAAUCAAGUCCCUCCAAGUGCAUGGAAAAUCUCCAUUUAGUGCCAAGAAAAUGAACUCAACAAGUACCCCCAUUUACAGUGGACCCUAUAUACAAUGGGCCACAAAAAUUGAAAAUAGACUCAAUAUACAAUGGACCACACAAUGAAUGAAUCAUAGUGAGACAAUAGUCAUAUAAUGACUAUAUAGUUGUAUGAACCACACAAAUUGAAAAUAGACCCUAUUUAUAAUGGACCACACAAAGAAUGAAACAUAGUGAGAAAUCGGUCACAUACAUACAAUGGACUAUAUGGUCCACGACCAUUACUAAGAAAUAGUAAAUUAUAAAAAUUCAGACUCCUUGAAAUGAUGCUGCUUGUGGGAAUGAUUUAAAAAUUUUAAUAUUUUUUUUAAAAGAAAAUAGACACAUAGCAAUAGGGUUUACAUGAUUCAAUAAUGUAAUUAAAUCCACCAUCGAUAUGGAAACUUUUUAAUAACAAACCCUAACCCCCAAAGAACUAAUCUAAGUGGUUUCCGAUAAGGAAAUACUUACUUUCAACUAAAACAUUUAAGGUUUGUCUACAAAUAUUUUUAAAAUUAGUUUUUAUUUUUAAAACAAAAAUAAUUUUCCCAUCUCAAAAAUAUAUCUAACAAAUUUUAGAAUAAAAAUAUCAUGAAAAUAAAGUGGUUGGUGUUUUGUUUUUUUUUUUGUAUUAUUUCAUUUUGCAUGGUAAAUUACAUUCACCAAGAACUAAUGAAGAAAACCAUUUUUUAGAAUUUCAAAUAGAAUUUUAUUCCUAAAAAUGAUAUAAAAUUGUUUUUAUGAAUUGUUCUCAAAAACUUAUUUUUAAAAAUCAUUUUUUAAAAUAUUAUCUAACAUGCCUCAAAUUUUCUUAUGAGAACCUAACCUUGCAGUUUCCCAGGUCUAAUUUGCAAGAAGCAAAAUAAUGUUGCGAGAUCUUCACAAGUAACAAGGCAACAAAUCACAUGAGAACAAGUCUAUGAAAACUUCUCAAUGUUUCAUUUUAUUCUUUCCAUGAUGCAAAGCUCUAGUUUCCAAGAUGAAAACUUGUCCACAUAAAAUUUUCCAUUUUUUCUCAACUCCUCCUAGCCACCUUAAUAGUAGUGAAGCUUCUUCCAAGAAAGUAAGACAUAAUGACUAAGGUUAUUUGUUCGAGGCUAGUUAUUUAAUAAACUCCCUUAUAGUUGCUUACCUAACAUCAAAGCCUACUAUCUUUGGAGGACAAGAGUCUUCCACAUUUUUUAUUUUUUGAAAUUCAUCUCUCCACCGUCUCCAUCUCUCAAUCAUUAAACGACCUAGAAAAGCGAGGAUUCCAACCCCCUCCUCCUCUGAAACAACCCACACCUCAGCCACCCACUCCUCUUUAGAAGCGGUCAGCUCAAACAACGAAGGGAAGGAACGACUUAAAGUGUCGUCGUUGCACCACCUAUCUUCCCAAAAUCUCACUCUUCUUCCAUCCCCAAUGGAGAAAACGAAAUUGCCCCUCAUUAAAGGUCAUUCCUUCCUAAUUUCCUUCCAAAACCCCCACACCACCCCCUUUCUUCUACCACAUACUUCCUACUUAUCACUUGUUUCCAAAGAGUCCCAUUUUCUUCCGCGAAGCGCCAACUCCAUUUUUUGGAAACUCCAUUUCCAAAAAAAAACUAAUUGUCUUAAUAUCAUAAACAAAAGAAGGUUGAGGCUACAACUAUUAUCACUAGCAAAUAGUUAUCAUUCUACAAGUCUUCUAAUUUAUUUUAAAUGUUUCAAACUUCACCUGCUUAGACAUGUCUAACAACUUCUUUAGCAGUCACGCCAAGAACUUAGCCUUUAAGAUCAAUAAAAAUAAACAUUCCACAUAAGAACUUGGUUUUUUUCAUUUCUUUUGAUAAAUGUAAAAUUUUCGUAAUUUGAAAAUAUUCACCUUAAGCUUAAUUUGCUGAUUAUUUGACUUGGAUGGCUACUUAUAAGUACAAACCAUCUUUAAAGAAUAAAUUGCUGAACUGUUUAGGCCUGGAACAUGUAAUAAACACCUAAUUUAAAAAACUAAAAUAUAAAGAUUGUUUUUAGUAUAAUAAAAUAUUUGGUUGCUUUAUAAUAAAAAUAUAAAGCAACGUCUACUGGUAUUUUUCAAUUUGUCAAAAUAUGGAAUGCAGACAUAAUAAUAAAUAGAAUUUAAGAGAUACCAAACUAGUGAUGCAACAUAAUGAACCUAUUAACUUGUGUUUUAAAAGAGAACCUUAGAAAGGCCAUACUUAGGACUCUAAAAUUUUCAUUCUACUUAUGAUCUAACCAUGGGGGAUUUUGUAAAGAUCAUAACCUCAGAGAAAGGCAUCAGACUAAUACCUGCAUGGAAAUUUGCACAAGAUUUCAGAUUCCAAUCAUUGAGUUCAAGGCAGUUCAAAUACAAAGCUCGCAAGUAAAUUCACAAGUUCAAUAUUUGAAGACCAAAAUUGACUCAAGAAGAUGCUCUAUAUGCUUAAUUAUCAUUUUAGGAUACUUCAAUUAUGUGAAUACAAGAAAAAAAAAAUUUCUAUUUCACUCUUUUUUUCAUUUGUUUCUUAGAAAAAAACUUAAUUUCUUAAGCAUUUCUUUUCACAUAAAACUUUAUACUAUAAAAACUAUUACUUGUUAUUUAUUACUAUUAGUAUUGUAAUAAUUCAUACAAUGAUCAAAAGAAAGAAAGAAAGAAAGAAAGGAAAAAUCAUUGCAUGAUAAAAUUGCUCUAUAGAAUAGAUUAAGUUAAUAAACAAAUUCAUUUUUUAAAUUUUCUUAUGCUUAUUGUAAGUAAUUCACUUUCAUAGCAAUCACAUUUAGCUCUAGCAUAUUCAAUAUCAAAAACGAAAAAAAAAAGGAACAAAAAGUAAAUAAAUAAAUAAAUAAGUUUCUUCCAAACCAAUAAGCUGAUAUCAAAUUGUCCAACUUUGUAUGAUGAGGUUAGAGAGAUGGCAGCCCCAGUUGCAAUCCUAUUGUUUUGGUCAAGGGUUUACUUGUUAUCUAUCAUGCUUAAGGUUAAUCCCCUGCAUGAUAAAAUCUAGACUUAAUGGUAAAACUUAUGAAAUAGUUUUAUGUUGUUACCUUUUCUACAGAAAGAAAAUAAGAAACUAUUAAUUAUUAAGUUUAUCAAACUUCUAUCACAUUUUCUAAGAAAAAUAGGAAGAAAAAAAAAUCAUUAAUAUCUUGUUGUUUCCUUUUUUUUUUCAAGAUAACAAUGGAGCUACUCCAAAGUUUCAACUUUUCUAUGCUUUCUCUUUACUGUUGUCUUGCCAAAGUCUCACUUUGUCCACCCUGCUAAUAAGCAAACAUGCCAUUGGAGGGAUGAUAUUGGCCCUACUGGGGACUAGAUUUUUAUCCAACUUAAGAGAAACCUAGCCAUAGAAGGUGCAUCCACACAAAGAAAGAAAAAGGAAAUGGCUUAUCUUCAAAAUGCAGGGGCCAAAUGAGAGAGAUGCCUAUUGUCCCCACCCAGUCAAAGAAUGAAAAAGAAAAAUCAAAUGAACAUGACAUAAAAGAUAGUAAAACGUUUGCAGACUGGAAUUCAAUGAAUUAUAGCUCAUUGUAUCAUGUGGAGAGUUAGGCUAUAAACUUGUUUUUAUGAUAGCGAAACAUAGUGAAGCAUUGAAAAGAGAGUUUUUUAAAUUAUUGAUACAUAGGGUAGUCAAUGGAUGAAGAGGAUGGCUAAUGUUAGCAAAUAGCUAAACAAGAAGCUUAAUAGUAAACCCCUUUCAGAUAUAUGGCUAGAGGGACAAGUAAGAUGAAAUCAUUAAAUGAAUCUUUGUUUCUUUGAUGGGGAUUGCAUUUUUUUUUCUUUUUCUCUGAUGGAACUUUGAAGUUACAUUAUAUUUUGAGAAAACCAAAAAACAUGAAAAACUGGAGAAAAAAAACACUCGACAAAACUCCUAGCACCCAAAAAUGAAGGUACAUUAAAGUAAAAGUAAAAUUUUUUUGGUUAUUGUGUCUUUGAUUAAAUGAUCUGUAACUUGAAAACCAAAAAGAAACAAAGAAAAAAAACAAAAAAGAGAAUGAUCAACCAAAAGAAAAAAAAAAUCCCAAAUAGUUAGUGUGGAUACAUUGAAGCCUCUUCCACCAAAUCAAUUAGGUGAAAUAUGGGUUCGAGGGCAAACAUGAUGCAGGACAAAGUUUGAUCAAAAGUUUGUGUUAGUUCCUCUUCGCAACGAUUUCUAACAACAGGUGACCUUAUCUGAAUCUCCCAAUUAAUUAGGUUCCAUUCAAAUCGAACCAUCUUAAUUCAUUUAGAAAGGAAACAUGGUGGUUAAGACAUCAAUUUUGGUUAAAAUCAAAUUAUUAAUGUUUUAAUUUUGCCUUGUAUUGACUUGUGAAGCCAAACAAUGUAUUCCUAAUCAAACUGCUUAAUCUCACAAGUGGCUUGCCUUGUGCUGUGGGACUCCUAAGCUAACCCUCAUCUUGCUAACAUCUAAUUUGCCAAAUUAGGCAGAUUAGACCAGUCAGACCUGUUAUAACAUAUUACUGAAUACCUAAGAUCCAAAGUUUGAUUAUUUCAAUUGGUCUUUCAAUUAGAACUCUAUGACAUAUGUGAAAUAUAAAACUGCUUCUAAAUUUUGUAUCUCUUUGUACCAUUGAGUUUCAAAUAUUCCACAUUAAGGAAAAUGGGUGCUCAAUAAAAGAGAAUGAAAUAAUGAUAAGAUUUUCAUUCUUGAAUAUUUAUAAGCCAAUCUUGGUUAUUAUAUCUUGAUCUAUAGCUAACUCUCUUGCCAAUUUGGUUGGAGCUAACUCUCUCGGGAUGUGAAUUGCCUGAGAUAUGAUGGCCUCAAAUGAAAACAGAAAGGAAAGGGAAAAACCAACCAGAAAGAAAAGGAAUUUGAUAAUUAGGAAAUUGGCAGGAAGAAAAAGAAAAUGCAUUCAACCUAGUAGAUAAAAUUAGUAAAGUGUCUCUCCUAUAAGCAUAAGAAUUUCCACUCAAAGAACGAAUAUCAAGCUUAUGUCAAUCAGCUGAAUUAAAAAUGUAAAAAUGAGCCUAAAAAGUCAAUUCCUGAUUUUUAAGAAGUUAGAAAAUCACAAAAUUGCAUUUGCCCCAUACAUGAGAUAACAGGAUUUGUAUAGAAGUAAAAGAAUGGUUGGUGAAAAACAGAUGUUGAAGUCCAUUUAAGAAAUUAAAAUUAAGGUAAAUUAGUAAGAAAUUAAAAUUAAGGUAAAUUAGGAAGCCUUUUCCCUCCAAAAUUGCAUAAACCCCAAAACCUAUCCAAUGUUUCUCCUGAAUAGCAAUUGUACAUGAGAUAAAUAUAAUCAAAUGACAUGAUUUUCAACAUCUGAAUUUUUAGAUUUUUGACAAAAUGCUUUUAGUCCGUACCCAUUAAUUUUGAUAAACUUAAUAUUCAUUUUUCCCUUUCUUCUUAGUGUUUACAUGAAGAACAAAAUUAGUCCAAGGGGGUUACUACUUUGAUGGAUUCAAAAUAAAAAAUAAAUAAAUAGAUAAAUAAAAUGAAAAAAAAAAAGAAACAAGAUUAAGAUGAGUCAAAGUGUAGCAUCCUAAUUAGGAAGAGCUUUGCUCUAUUCGAAACUCAUAGCCUUUGAUUUCAUGAGGUGCAGACAAGGCACUAUAAUAAUAGCAGACUGCAUUGAAUUUCAUAUCACUAAAAUUUUCAACUUCAUCUUAUGCACGGAAGACAAAAAAACACAAAAGAGAAGGGACAGGAGCAAUCAUUGCUUCCAAGCUAAGUUUAGAUGCACAUGAAAAUGGAAAGAAGAAUAAGAGUGCAGAGAUGGGGUAUGUGAAAGUAUGGUGAGGGAUUGAUGCUCAUAAUAAUUAGUAAAUAUAUACCAGGGAAUCCAAACACAAACCCUAACCAGAAAAAGAGAGAUGGGAGGAAAUAGAAGUGAUGAAAAGAAACCCAAUUUGAAAUCAAAGAAAGAAAGAAAGGAAUAAUAGAGUGUGAAGCCGUAGAAGGAAUCGAAAGAAUACCUAGAAGAUGUGGGCGAUGAAGUGGCUAAAGAAAUUGGUCGUUGAGCGAGUUGGUCAUUGAUCUAAGCCCCCUCAGUGAUGAGGAUGUCAGUGACGACAAGAAUCUAGUCGGAGAAAUAUACAGUGAUGAGGAUGGGUAUUAUGGCUUUGGGAGAAGAGUUCAAUGGUCUCUAAUGGUGGCUAAGAAGAGUGAACGAUAAAAGACAUGGCUCUCAGUGGGUCCAGCAGUCUAAACCGAGCAGAAGAGAUAGUGCUUAUAUAGUGGCUCUAUGGUCAUGAACAAGCCCAUGUGAUUGUGCCUAUUGGGCCAUAUAUUGCUAGAAGAGCUUUUAUAGCAGCAACCCAGCCCAUGUGGUUGUGCCUAUUGGGCCAUAUAUUGCUAUAAGAGCUUUUAUAGCAGCAACCCAUUCGUUCCCCAGCUAUAUGAGCUUUUAUAGUAGCGAUCUAUUCCUCCCUCAGCCAUAAUGAUGCGGAAAUUUCUAAUCUGUUGCGACUUAUACAAGUAUGAUACUAUAUAUAUGUUUUGGUUGUGGAUUUUGUUGGCCCAAUUAAAA
rnacentral:lncRNA from 1 species